UACGGGGGGGGUAAGCGUUGUUCGGAAUUACUGGGCGUAAAGGGCUCGUAGGCGGCCAACUAAGUCAGACGUGAAAUCCCUCAGCUUAACUCGGGAACUGCGUCCGAUACUGGUGGGCUUGAAUCCGGGAGAGGGAUGCGGAAUUCCAGGUGUAGCGGUGAAAUGCGUAGAUAUCUGGAGGAACACCGGUGGCGAAGGCGGCAUCCUGGACCGGCAUUGACGCUGAGGCGCGAAAGCUAGGGGAGCAAACGGG
rnacentral:rRNA from 1 species